UACGUAGGGGGCAAGCGUUGUCCGGAUUUAUUGGGCGUAAAGAGCGUGUAGGCGGUUAUACAGGUCCGCUGUGAAAACUGGAGGCUUAACCUCCAGACGUCGGUGGAAACCGUAUGACUAGAGUCCGGAAGAGGAGAGUGGAAUUCCUGGUGUAGCGGUGAAAUGCGCAGAUAUCAGGAAGAACACCCGUGGCGAAGGCGGCUCUCUGGGACGGUACUGAUGCUGAGACGCGAAAGCGUGGGGAGCGAACAGG
rnacentral:rRNA from 1 species